rnacentral:rRNA from 1 species
AGUGAACGCUGGCGGUAGGCCUAACACAUGCAAGUCGAACGGCAGCACAGUAAGAGCUUGCUCUUACGGGUGGCGAGUGGCGGACGGGUGAGGAAUACAUCGGAAUCUACUUUUUCGUGGGGGAUAACGUAGGGAAACUUACGCUAAUACCGCAUACGACCUACGGGUGAAAGCAUGGGAUCUUCGGACCUUGCGCGAUUGAAUGAGCCGAUGUCGGAUUAGCUAGUUGGCGGGGUAAAGGCCCACCAAGGCGACGAUCCGUAGCUGGUCUGAGAGGAUGAUCAGCCACACUGGAACUGAGACACGGUCCAGACUCCUACGGGAGGCAGCAGUGGGGAAUAUUGGACAAUGGGCGAAAGCCUGAUCCAGCCAUACCGCGUGGGUGAAGAAGGCCUUCGGGUUGUAAAGCCCUUUUGUUGGGAAAGAAAAGCAGCAGGUUAAUACCCCGCUGUUCUGACGGUACCAAAAGAAUAGGCACCGGCUAACUUCGUG